AAGAGAACCGAAAGAUUGAAAAAUGAAGGUAGAGCGAGCAGGACAGAUUAAAUGUAGCGGAAGGAUAAUAAAACACAGAGGAGUGAAAGAAACUCCUUAUCCUCGAAAUGGCGGCAGAGGAGAUAGUUUCUUAAGGAAGCGUCGUGAACGCAUAAGCGGCUUGUUUGUAAUUCCCAGGUGUACGGGCGAUGAGGGCUUAAAGAUAAGCACAGUGCACAUACA
ncrna:unclassified sequences Clostridiales-3 RNA